GUGCUUGCUUCAGCAGCACAUAUACUAAAAUUGGAACAAUGCAGAGAAGAUUAGCACGGCCCCUGUGCAAGGAUGACAUGCAAAUUCGUGACAUGUUCCUUAUUUUU
ensembl:snRNA U6 U6 spliceosomal RNA